AACGAACGCUGGCGGCAGGCUUAACACAUGCAAGUCGAGCGCCCCGCAAGGGGAGCGGCAGACGGGUGAGUAACGCGUGGGAAUCUACCCAUCUCUACGGAAUAACGCAUGGAAACGUGUGCUAAUACCGUAUACGUCCUUCGGGAGAAAGAUUUAUUGGAGAUGGAUGAGCCCGCGUUGGAUUAGCUAGUUGGUGGGGUAAAGGCCUACCAAGGCGACGAUCCAUAGCUGGUCUGAGAGGAUGAUCAGCCACACUGGGACUGAGACACGGCCCAGACUCCUACGGGAGGCAGCAGUGGGGAAUAUUGGACAAUGGGCGCAAGCCUGAUCCAGCCAUGCCGCGUGAGUGAUGAAGGCCCUAGGGUUGUAAAGCUCUUUCACCGGUGAAGAUAAUGACGGUAACCGGAGAAGAAGCCACGGCUAACUUCGUGCCAGCCGCCGCAGUAAUAC
rnacentral:rRNA from 1 species